AUGCACCAACAAUCGUAUAUAAACACACCUCGUUCUCAGACCAGCACACCCAUAGGCAAACUGAUGGGUGCAAAGAUUGAUUGUCAAACCUUCACUCAGUCUCAAGCUGUGGUUAAAAAACCUGAUGAAUCUUUUAAACUGAUCUGCACCGCCUCUGGAUUUACAUUCAGCAGCUACUAUGCAGCUGUGGUUAGACAGGCUCCUGGUAAAGGACUGGAGUGGAUUGCAUUCAUCCAUACAGGCAGUUCUCAUAUCUACUAUUCCCAGUCAGUUCAGGGAAGAUUCACAGUGACCAGAGACGACUCCAGCAGUCAACUGUAUCUACAGAUGAACAGUCUAAAGACUGAAGACACAGCUGUGUAUUACUGUACCAGAGAGUCACUGUGA